rnacentral:tRNA from 1 species
GACGCGGUCGCGUGAGGCGGUUAAUUCGGGUGGUUUAAUUUCGUAAACUAUUGAUUUAUAAUAGUUGAUGUCGGCCUGCAAAGCCGUUUAGGCCGGUUGGACUCCGGCUCGCGCCC